UACGUAGGGGGCUAGCGUUGCUCGGAAUCACUGGGCGUAAAGCGCACGUAGGCGGACUCUUAAGUCGGGUGGUGAAAAUCCUGGAGCUCAACUCCAGAACUGCCUUCGGAUAGCUGAGAGUCUCAGAAGUCCGGGAGAGGUGAGUGGAAACUCCGAGUGUAGAGGUGAAAUUCGUAGAUAUUCGCAAGAACACCAGGUGGCGAAGGCGGCUCACUGGGCCCGGUACUGACGCUGAGGUGCGAAAGCGUGGG
rnacentral:rRNA from 1 species